CGAUUAGGGUUCGAUUCUGGCUCAGAUUGAACGCUGGCGGCAGGCUUAACACAUGCAAGUCGAGCGGAAACGGCAUAGGCAAUCCCUUCGGGGUGCGCUUAUGGACGUCGAGCGGCGGACGGGUGAGUAAUGCCUGGGAAUCUGCCUGGUAGUGGGGGAUAACUUGCCGAAAGGUAAGCUAAUACCGCGUACGCCCUACGGGGGAAAGCAGGGGAUCUUCGGACCUUGCGCUAUCAGAUGAGCCCAGGCCGGAUUAGCUAGUUGGUAGGGUAAAGGCCUACCAAGGCGACGAUCCGUAGCUGGUCUGAGAGGAUGAUCAGCCACACCGGGACUGAGACACGGCCCGGACUCCUACGGGAGGCAGCAGUGGGGAAUAUUGGACAAUGGGGGGAACCCUGAUCCAGCCAUGCCGCGUGUGUGAAGAAGGUCUUCGGAUUGUAAAGCACUUUAAGUUGGGAGGAAGAGCUCCGGGCUAAUACCCUGCGAGUUUUGACGUUACCAACAGAAUAAGCACCGGCUAACUUCGUGCCAGCAGCCGCGGUAAUACGAAGGGUGCGAGCGUUAAUCGGAAUUACUGGGCGUAAAGCGCGCGUAGGUGGUUUGUUAAGUUGGAAGUGAAAGCCCCGGGCUCAACCUGGGAAUUGCUUUCAAAACUGACGGGCUAGAGUACGGUAGAGGGUAGUGGAAUUUCCUGUGUAGCGGUGAAAUGCGUAGAUAUAGGAAGGAACAUCAGUGGCGAAGGCGACUGCCUGGACUGAUACUGACA
rnacentral:rRNA from 1 species